CUACAGAUUUCUUUAUCUACUUUUUUUUUAACGGCAGAGACUAGAGCAAGACGUAUAUUUUCAUCAGAUCGUGUGGAGCAGUAACUUCCCUAAAAGUUUAGUUCCAGGUAGUUUUCCUUGGAGUUUUGCACUAUGGAGUCUUUUACCGCUGAGAAAGCAGAGAUAAACCGCUGAGUGAUAUCUUUCUUACGGUUCCCGUGGGAUUAAGCUCCGGUUGGGUUUUUUUGGAGACUGUUUAAAGUGGAUGCUGAACGGCGAGCCAGAUUCCAGUGAGCUUCGUAAAGCGAGGAGUGGAUCAGGACUCAUGGAGGGUGUGAGAACUCGACUCUGCUUCACAGUGCGGCAAAAAGGAAAAGGACACACUCGUCUCUUCUGAAAUCCAGCUAAGACAUUCUGAACAAAAUCAUACUACCCGGGUAGAUGAACUGAACUGAACUGAAUACACACACACACCACACAUUGUCACAGUGUCCAUUUUUUAUUUUUAUUUUUUGUCUAUUGUUUUCCAAGUGCACUUGACAGCAAAUUGUUAUGUUUACUGGUACUGUUCUGUUGGGAUUAGUACAGAGUUAAACGGUCAUUUAUUGGAUCAUUUUGAUGGUUUGGUGAUCAGUACAAUUUAAGGUUUAUCAUUUUGAAAAUAAAUGUCAAAUGAAAGCUGUUUAACAAAAAAAUAUUGUCCUUGUCCAACUAUCCUUCUUGAGCGAACCUAACGUUACCAUUGCCAGAGAUAAAGCCAAUAUACAUACACUAAAUUGUAUUAUUUUGUGAGAUCAAGUUUCUUACUGUAGUAGUUCAUACUUACCCUUUUGCUACAUUGAUUCUACUACAUGUUAUAGAAGCAUCAAAAGUUUGAGGUUCUGUACAGAUAUUCCAAAAGAUUAAUUUGUAGUUUUACCUGUUCACUGUACAAGAGGAAAAGUCAGAAGAUUGGCAAAGUAGUCACCUUACGUCCUCUGUAGACCAUGAGAGCCUGUAUAAAACUUUCUGAGAACCCAGUUGCUCAGUGUUGAAACCAAUUUUAUCCAACAAAAAUAUUCAAAGUGGUGAAACAACCAGCUGAGUAAAUCAAACAGCAAAACUGUCUGUGGAACAUGUAUUUCCUACUCUGUCGACAAAUGAUAACAAAAUCAGUGUUGUCAUAUCACAACUGAAUGAAACAACACGUGACUCUGAGGUCACCAGUGAAUAAACCUUCUGCCUGCUUCAUUCA